rnacentral:rRNA from 1 species
GACGAACGCUGGCGGCGUGCUUAACACAUGCAAGUCGAACGGAAAGGCCCUGCUUUUGUGGGGUGCUCGAGUGGCGAACGGGUGAGUAACACGUGAGUAACCUGCCCUUGACUUUGGGAUAACUUCAGGAAACUGGGGCUAAUACCGGAUAGGAGCUCCUGCUGCAUGGUGGGGGUUGGAAAGUUUCGGCGGUUGGGGAUGGACUCGCGGCUCAUCAGCUUGUUGGUGGGGUAGUGGCUUACCAAGGCUUUGACGGGUAGCCGGCCUGAGAGGGUGACCGGCCACAUUGGGACUGAGAUACGGCCCAGACUCCUACGGGAGGCAGCAGUGGGGAAUAUUGCACAAUGGGCGGAAGCCUGAUGCAGCAACGCCGCGUGCGGGAUGACGGCCUUCGGGUUGUAAACCGCUUUCGCCUAUGACGAAGCGUGAGUGACGGUAAUGGGCAAAGAAGCACCGGCUAACUACGUG